rnacentral:SRP_RNA from 1 species
CCGUGCUAAGCGGGGAGCUAGCGGUGCCCUGUACCCGCAAUCCGCUAUAGCGGGGCAGAAUUCCCGCCCGAGGUCGCACGUUGUUCGGUCCGUUAUCGGCCAGGCGGUGUCGAUAGCUCGGUCCUGCGCGGCGGAGAGCUGUGAACCCCGCCAGGUCCGGAAGGAAGCAACGGUAAGCGGUGUCCUCCGGGUGCCGCAGGGGUGCCGGGCUGGAGCAGGCCAGCCGGGGAGGCGCGGGGAACGUGCCGAUCGACGGUGGGUGCACGG